UACGUAGGGUGCAAGCGUUACUCGGAAUUACUGGGCGUAAAGCGUGCGCAGGCGGUUAUGCAAGACAGAGGUGAAAUCCCCGGGCUCAACCUGGGAACUGCCUUUGUGACUGCAUGGCUAGAGUACGGUAGAGGGGGAUGGAAUUCCGCGUGUAGCAGUGAAAUGCGUAGAUAUGCGGAGGAACACCGAUGGCGAAGGCAAUCCCCUGGACCUGUACUGACGCUCAUGCACGAAAGCGUGGGGAGCAAACAGG
rnacentral:rRNA from 1 species